rnacentral:lncRNA from 1 species
GUGUGAGAAAAUUAGAAAAAAAUUAAAAGAAAACUCCAACCUUAUAUGAUAAAUUGUCAGAGAAUAAAAAAGAUGCUUAAUUUUUUUUAUGAAUUAUUACCAAGAGAGGAAAAAUAUUUGAAGAAAUUCUCCAAGCCCAAAAAAUCCUUAUCUAAUGCACUUGUUUUGAAUUUCUCUAUAUUAGAGAACUUUGUAUUAUAAAGGAAUUUAAAUCACCAUUCGAGUUGGAGAUUAUCUUUCAUUCCCUUGUGCUAACUUUCAUUUUUUUUUUCCUAAAGUCC